CUUCAAAGGUAACCCUUAUACACGGAAAGCUCUGCACUGUGCACGGUUCUCAGCAGCAGCACAAGUUCAAAUUACACCAUGCAUCAGCUUUGACGUCAACACAUUAGGUUUAGGAUGUGGAGCCACCCACGGACUUUGACCUUGAAGAGGAACGGUAAUCAUAAAUAAAUAUCUACUCUUGGUGCCCUAAAACGCCUCAUCAGAGACUCUCCUAAUGAUGGUAAUAAAUGUGUUCAUGAUGCCAAACCAAGAGGUAGCUGUGGUACCAAGAAUGUGUAGACAUGAACUAUUGUAAAGGAUUUAUUGUGACAAAAGAAGUACAAAAAGAUAAAUAAAAAGUAGUCUCUGUUGAUAUGAUGGGGAUAAGUA